AGAGCGAACGCUGGCGGCAGGCCUAACACAUGCAAGUCGAGCGGAUGUAGCAAUACAUCAGCGGCAGACGGGAGAGUAACACGUGGGAACGUGCCCUUUGGUUCGGAAUAACGCAGGGAAACUUGCGCUAAUACCGAAUAAGCCCUUACGGGGAAAGAUUUAUCGCCAUUGGAGCGGCCCGCGUCUGAUUAGCUAGUUGGUGAGGUAACGGCUCACCAAGGCGACGAUCAGUAGCUGGUCUGAGAGGAUGAUCAGCCUCACUGGGACUGAGACACGGCCCAGACUCCUACGGGAGGCAGCAGUGGGGAAUAUUGGACAAUGGGCGCAAGCCUGAUCCAGCCAUGCCGCGUGGAUGAUGAAGGCCUUAGGGUUGUAAAAUCCUUUCGACGGGGAAGAUAAUGACGGUACCCGUAGAAGAAGCCCCGGCUAACUUCGCGCCAGCAGCCGC
rnacentral:rRNA from 1 species